rnacentral:rRNA from 1 species
AUUGAACGCUGGCGGCAUGCUUUACACAUGCAAGUCGAACAGCAGCGCGGGCUUCGGCCUGGCGGCGAGUGGCGAACGGGUGAGUAAUACAUCGGAACGUGCCCAGUAGUGGGGGAUAGCUCGGCGAAAGCCGGAUUAAUACCGCAUACGACCUGAGGGUGAAAGCGGGGGAUCUUCGGACCUCGCGCUAUUGGAGCGGCCGAUGGCAGAUUAGCUAGUUGGUGGGGUAAAGGCCUACCAAGGCGACGAUCUGUAGCUGGUCUGAGAGGACGACCAGCCACACUGGGACUGAGACGCGGCCCAGACUCCUACGGGAGGCAGCAGUGGGGAAUUUUGGACAAUGGGCGAAAGCCUGAUCCAGCAAUGCCGCGUGUGUGAUGAAGGCCUUCGGGUUGUAAAGCACUUUUGGCGGGAACGAAAAGGACUGUGCCAAUACCACGGUUCGAUGACGGUACCCGCAGAAUAAGCACCGGCUAACUACGUG